rnacentral:misc_RNA from 1 species
GAAAUGCGAUAAGUAAUGUGAAUUGCAGAAUUCAGUGAAUCAUCGAAUCUUUGAACGCACCUUGCGCUCCUUGGUAUUCCUUGGAGCAUGCCUGUUUGAGUAUCAUGAAAUCUUCAAAGUAAAUCUUUUGUUAACUCAAUUGGUUUCUACUUUGGUAUUGGAGGUCUUUGCAGCUUCACACCUGCUCCUCUUUGUUCAUUAGCUGGAUCUCAGUGUUAUGCUUGGUUCCACUCGGCGUGAUAAGUUAUCUAUCGCUGAGGACACUGUAAAAGGUGGCCAAGGUAAAUGCAGAUGAAACGCUUCUAAUAGUCCAUUGACUUGGACAAUACUUUUAUGAUCUGAUCUCACAUCAGGUAGGACUACCCGCUGAACUUAAGC